GUCUACGGCCAUACCACCCUGAACGAGCCCGAUCUCGUCUGAUCUCGGAAGCUAAGCAGGGUCGGGCCUGGUUAGUACUUGGAUGGGAGAAACCCUAGAUGGUAGGGCCUGUGAUUGAAGUCA
rnacentral:rRNA from 1 species